CCACGUAGGGGGCGAGCGUUGUCCGGAAUUACUGGGCGUAAAGGGCGUGUAGGCGGCACCGCAAGUCAGGUGUGAAACCCCUAGGCUUAACCUGGGGCUUGCAUCUGAAACUGCGAUGCUUGAGGGCAGGAGAGGCAAGUGGAAUUCCUAGUGUAGCGGUGAAAUGCGUAGAUAUUAGGAAGAACACCAGUGGCGAAGGCGACUUGCUGGACUGGCCCUGACGCUGAGGCGCGAAAGCGUGGGUAGCGAACAGGAUUAGAUACCCUGGUAGUCCACGCCGUAAACGAUGGGUACUAGAUGUUGGGGGUAUCGAACCCCUCAGUGCCGCAGUAAACGCAGUAAGUACCCCGCCUGGGGAGUACGGUCGCAAGGCUGAA
rnacentral:rRNA from 1 species